rnacentral:lncRNA from 1 species
UGAUAACUCAAGUAGUAAGCCAGAAAUAUUUAUAUUUAAUAUAAGAUUCAAAUCCUGGAACUGUUUACAUUCUGAAACGGGUGGAGUGCAAAUAUGUUGAACUCAUGUGCGCUCAGAUCUGAUGAACCAACUGGAUGGUGCAUGGUGGCGGCGGCUUGAUCCGGUUAAUUUGGCUCUGGCAACUCUACCAAAUUCCUCUAUUUCUCUCCUCAUCCAAUCAAUUCCCAAUAGGUGGCUGAGAGAUAUAUAUCCUGCGCCGGCGCCAACGCUUCUGAAAAUUGUUCUAUUCUAGUUCCUGUUCUUUUAUUUUCUUAAAACACAUUGAAACGCAAACGCUCACAAAAUGCACGCACACUUUCCCCACACUCUCCCCUAAGAACGCACGCAAGCCCUACCCGCAAGCCCUACCCCUAUGGGUGACCUCAGGUGCUACUAAGACCCUUGUAACCACUAGGCUACAAGC